AUGCAAGUCGAACGAAAAGCAAGACUUCGGUUUUGUGGAAAGUGGCGAACGGGUGCGUAACACGUGAGCAACCUGCCCUUGAGUAUGGAAUAGCCCGCCGAAAGGCGGAUUAAUGCCGUAUGUGGCCUUUCAUCGCAUGGUGAAAUAGCUAAAGCUUGUAAUGGCGCUCAAGGAUGGGCUCGCGGCCUAUCAGCUUGUUGGUGAGGUAAAAGCUCACCAAGGCUAAGACGGGUAGCUGGUCUGAGAGGAUGAUCAGCCACACCGGGACUGAGACACGGCCCGGACACCUACGGGUGGCAGCAGUUUCGAAUCAUUCACAAUGGGCGAAAGCCUGAUGGUGCAAUGCCGCGUGGAGGAUGACGGCCCUAGGGUUGUAAACUCCUGUCAUUGGGGAGCAAUAAGCAGGUUUGUAGCCUGCCCUGAGUUAACCCAAAGAGGAAG
rnacentral:rRNA from 1 species